GGAGCCGGGCGGGGCGACGCGGGAGCUCGCUCGUCAGGUGUUCGACUGGAUGCCGACGCAGACAUGCACAAAAUGCGCCUGCUUCCCGUUGGGCGUAGAGGCCGACCCAAACAAAAAAAACGGAUACGGACCGGCGACCCAAACAGACGAAAAACGGACAAAAACGGUAUCCGUUUGGGUCGGUCCGUUGGAGUUGCUCUUGCAUUCUCUAAUCUCUACUCCUAAUGUCUCAGUUGGUAGUCCGCGUUCCGGGUUUUAUUUUCGUCCCACCUAAUACGGUCUUUUUUGGUACUUCUUUCGUCCCAUCAGAGACGGGUUUUUUUCGUCCUCGAUCCCACCUCCCGCAUCCCCUCGAUUCCCACCUCCGCCCUCGAACCAGGAAAUAAAAAUCGGUAUGCUCCCACUAUGUCCACUGCUAAACCCUCCGGUUCAUCGAAAAAAACUCGCACCUGAAAAAAAUCUACGAAAAUUAACCUACGCCCCGACCGCCGCCCGCGGGUCGCCCGCUCCCUCGCGCCCCUGUUGCUCCCUCCUCGAUCCCGAUCUGGAUCGAGGGGACGAGGAGCUCCUGCCUCCCCGAGACCCCGACGGCCGGCCUCCUCCUCGCCCCGCCGCUGCGUCCGGCGCCGCCACGGCCUCUGGAGCCAGGGAAGCCAUGGCCUGAGCUCGGCCUCGAGGUCCCCGCCGCCGUCUCCUGCAGCUUCUGCCCCGCCGCCUCACCGCCCGAGCUCGCCGUCGCGCCGCCGCCGGCUCUGGUCGCCUCCACCUCCGCUCCAGGCAACCCUCGGUCGCCGGCUCGCUGGAGCACGACGGCAGACGAUGGAUGCCUGGUUGUGUGCGACGGAUGCAGUUCUCACGCGCAAACUAGGGUUGGAGCCGCCAGCUCUUCAUCCUGCCCGCCGGCGGCGAGUCUUCCCGUCCCGUACUGCCGCCUCCCCGUUAUCACAGGUAUCUCCACCCCUUCCUCUUUCCCCCUCUUCUCUCCUCUCCCUUCUCCCUCCUCCAUCUCUGUUCCCUUCCCCCUCCCACCCCGUUAUCUGUUCAUGUUGUUGGCACCUGAAGAAGUUGGUGGCAUGGUGAAGCCCCUGAGCAAAAGUUGCAGGAGUCUUUGAAGGAGUUGGAGAAGUCUUAAACCUGAGUCCGAAUCCAAUUUCGUGGGAACAAGCAUAUAUUCCAUGAAUUUUCCAUUAGAUUCAGUGGACAGGUAAUGUCCUCAACGACACUUGCACACCCUAAACCCUAAAAGAAACAACUAGAUGCCUUGGGUAAUUUUGGCUGCAUCCGUCUUGGUUAGUUGGUUUACAUGUGAAUUCACACGUUUAAAGGGCAUGUGACCAUUAACUUUAUAAGUAUUUAUCCAUGUUCUAAAGGAAUUAAAUAGGAUGCAGUAGUGCAGACAUUCAAAGGAGGUGGGAAGUGUGCAUAUGCUUUAUGUUAGUUAUAUGCACAGGGCAGCCUAUCAAUAUAGAGGUGUCAUUCAGACAGAGCUCUUUGAAUAUAAUAAGACAAAAGAUAGGGUUCCUGAUUUUUUUAUAAGAAGAUUCUUCUAUAUGUUCAGUUACAUGAUUUUUAAUUUGAUCAUCUUCUUUGAACAAUUUUUGUGCUGACUAUGAUAUUUCUUUUGAUUUGUAGGUUCAUCUGGUCCUUUACUCCUCACAUAAUAACUGUGAAACUUAAUGAGGAACUUCUGAAAAAUGCUCCCUCCCCUCUGAUGUCUAUUUGGUUACUUAUGCUUGUGUGGUCUGGUUGUUCCUAAGUGCUUUCGGACAUUAUUAUUUGUGUGAUCAGCAUUGAGUAGAUUGCCUGCAGCAAGAUAACUUGAGUUUUUUUACUUAAGUAAACGAUAUGUAAAUAGCUCUAAGUUAACUGGACAUUUUGUCGCAUUGGCUUGAAUCUGCAUGUUGCAUCAUUUGUGCACAAUGAAAACUGUAUGAACCUGCAUUGGAUGGUGUAUUUGUAGGAAGGUUAUCCUUUCUUCAAGGACUGGAAGUUUCCUGGUAAGUGUUCCUUUUUCUUAAAAACUCUGUGUUUGUUCGCUGUAAUAUUUUGUUUACAUCAGGUUUCUCUUUCCUUUUGUGGGCAUAAUGGGCGAGACAAUAAUAUUCAGAAAGUUGUUGUUUUAGGGAAACUGCUAACUCCAUAUGUCAGACCCAUAUCAUUGUUGAGCAUGCAUAGUGUUCCUAUGUCAUUUCUAUGAUGUAUUUGUUUCCUUUUAUAUCACAGUAGUCUUCAUUUUGGCCAUGUACCUUCAAACUGAACCAAAAAUGGUUUGUCUGAUGACAUGUUUGAGGAGAUUCUUGAUAUGAAACAGUACAUAUGAGGGUGACCGUUUUUUUGCAAGUUUUGUCCGUGGAAUCUUUUUGCAGUUGAUAAGACAUGGGCUGGACUUACUUCCGAUCUGCAAUAUUUUCGGUAAAGUGAUUCAAGGAAACAAACAUCCACUGUGUCAAUCACUCAAGAUGGUGCAUGCAGUUUUCCUGAAAGUUAAGUCUGAGAGCCUGCUCCUACAUAAAGCUGGGUGACGGGACGACGGCCAAUUUCUGGGAGGACAAAUGGUUGCCGGGUGGGCGUUCCGUCUAAGACCUGGCGCCAACACUGCUCACUUUUGUGCCCAAGAGCACAACUAGUCAUCUAUGGUUUGGAUGGGGCUGGGUUCCUACAACGACGGCAACAGAGGCGACAAACACCACUUUGCAACCUCGCCGAACUGUGUUGCUGAACUGAAGUUUAGGGACAGCAGCAGUUUUACCACCGAUGGUGUUGCAUGUAAGCUGGAUGUUCUCAUUGUUCUGUUGGCUCUGAUCGGUGUGUAUGCUAUGAAGUUAAGGUUCUUAAGAUUAAUGAUGUUUAUAGAAGUGAUGCAGGAUGUGAGGUACAACUAUCAAAGUGACAUUAAUUUUGGUUCUGAUUCCUAUCCGCAGCCUCUUCUACACUAGAGAAGGAAAACACUCGACGAUCUGGCUCUGUCUCAGGUAUAUGCUCCCUCGCCCGCAAGAUCCGCUCUCUCCCAUCUACGCAUCGCAACAGCACUUCAGCUCCUCUUGUGGAUUCUCACCAGAUCAGGCCACCUCACUCACCUUCAGUCUGUCGUGAUGGACAAAGUUAAGAUCCCAACAAAAAGUGCUUCUUGAUGCUAUGAUGCAGCAACUUAACCUUCCAAAUUACAGUUUACUAAACAGACCUCGCCGGCAGAUCCCUCAGCUAUCAGGGAAGGCAGCCAUCAGCGGAGAUUGAGGGCGCCUCUCCGGCGAGAGUGCUCAUGUCGUGGUGGUUUUCCACCAGCAGCGUGGGGGAGGCGGUGUCCUCUGCGGCUAGGUCUACUUACUGGCGACCUCACCAUCACCAGCCCACCUGCAGAGCAUUUGUAAAGGGCAGUUGAUCUUCUCAUUGGUUUCAUUGGCGUUGUAUGCAAGGUCUCAAAAGGUCUGCUGUUCCUGGAUGGUGCGUGUGAUAGCUGCAUAUGAGGAUGUACGAAGGAUUUGGCUGCGAACUCAAUCAGACCAUUGGAUUGAAGCUGAAGGGGGCAUUGCAAAGAUACGAAGGAAUGGCCUUUCGUUCAUAACCUGGUCAGCUACACAACAUCUGGUCGUACAUGUUUCUAUUGCAGCGGCCCAGUUACGUGGAGAAGAAUGGCAUACGCUGAGGAUUGUGUCAGCUGAUUUUCUAACUCAUGUUUAGCUCAUGGAUUCUCAUUUAUCUCUUCAAUUUACACAAGGAGGUGCAUUAUCAGCUCUUAUGUAUUUUCUUAAUAACCGUUGAUAGGAAUGACAACUAUGUUGAGAUGUGGUAGACCAUUGAAUGACUUUUGGUCCAGAAUGAAAAAUAGAGGCAUAAUUAUUGUAAUUUUGUUGCUGCUAAUUUCUUUCAAACGAA